UUCCAGCUCUUUCCAGGAAAAGAAAAAGUAAACGAGAGAGUGUAUGCGCUCACAAAGGUGCCGCCGAUACAGUCCAGCUCGUGCACCAACACUCCAAAAACUUUCCCUCAGUGUGGAGCUGAGGGGCACAUGGCUAAUAACAACAGCAGAGUGAUGGAGUGGGAGGCGACCAUAACAAACUGUAAAACCAGCUCCUUCAUUUCAGUCACAUUUAGCCUACAUUAUUUACACUUUUAUCCAGCCUUUUUAUCUCAGCCUGCGUGUUACCAAACUGUUUCAAAAUAGUAGCUACACGCAUUACCUUAGCUCUGAUAGCCACAACAACAAUACUGUAUGAUAAACAAUAAGAUAAACCCUGCUAGCUAGCCUUUUAAGCUAGUGCUAAAACAGGCAUUUUUCUUCUUUUAGAAACUGUGAAACUUUAAACCUAAGAUUUAAGUUGAAAACAAAAAUAAAAAUGAGUGAUUGGCAAGCUAAGUGACAGAACUCACCUUUAGUGAAUGAUUUAUAUACCUAGCUCAAGCUAACACCACUAAACAAUCACUUAAAUUUAGCUAGCUAAUGUUAGAAAUGGGACGUAAACAAAGUGCACUGGAAGAGCCUGAGCCUGAUUUGAGAACAUAUGGACUUCAGAGCUGUGCCAGAAUACACUCCUCCUCUUCUUCGGACGCCCCCUGCCUGGACCCGGACGGACCCCCUAAGCAAGACCCCUGCGUUCCAGGAUCAUGAAGUGACACUGCAGGAAGAUGGACUGAAGGAAGGAGGGAGUGUGUGUGAGAUGAGUGAUGAGUAAGAAGGACGGCUUGGACUGAAGGAGAUUGAAAGAGACAGAAUGCAGGCGAUCCUCCCCUCCACUCUCAGAGAUGCCCUUGAAUCACUGCUGUCCGCAGACAUCAUUAUCCUUCAGAUAAGAAGAAGAGCAGGUUGUGAUGUCACGCCUUUCGGAACUAGGCCUAUCUCUUCCGUGAGCUCCUGUUGCUUGCAUUCUCUUUUUUUUGCCUUUUUUUAUCUCCACUGUCGAGAUUGGAGUCCCCCAUCUCUCCACCUCCUCCUCCUCCCUCGUUCUUUCCUCCUCUCCUCCCUCUUUCUUGCCCAGUUCCUCCCUCCCUCUUCUCUCUCUGUUCACCUACUCGAUAUGCCAGCCUUGUUCUCCUGCAGUCUCCAGCACAACUUUCUGACCCACUUCCUAUUUCCUCCUUGGCCCUGUGAUCAAAGCCUGCAGGACGGCAUUGCCUUGGGCAGUGGAGAGAGGGAGCGAGGGAUGAAGGGAUCGACGGAGAAAGGGUAGAGGAAGAGCGGGAUAGACGGGGGGAUACGGCACACGAGAGCCGAAUGGAGAGAUCACAGCGAGAGGAGAGAGAGGACCCAGGUGAUCACACCGUCCAAGGACAAAGAGAUAGUUUCAGUUAGUCAAAGUGUUCGUUAACUGACGCUCGACGCGUUGGCUGCUUUGAAUAUCAAUAAUGAUGAUGCUCAUGUUGAUUAGAGAGAGCCAUCUCUAACCUGUAGCUCACAAACUAUUAAUAUCUUCAAGCUGAAGUUGGACGAUGAGUUGUGGAGGCAGAAUCGGUUUGUAUUCGCCAUGUUUUACAAUUGCAUGUAAUUUGUUAGAAAUAACGUAAAUUUAUAAUUUAUUUGUACUAAGUCCAAAGAACAAACAAAUACCAUCUAUUAUAUGGACAAAAGUGUUAUGACUCACAAAACACCUGCAGGAGCUUUUUAAUGGCAUAAGCAUUAGUGUGGAGUCGGUUCCCCUUUGCAGCGCUAACAGCAGGUUUGGAUCUCUGCAGGUAUUGAUCAGGAGAGCACUGGUUGAAGACUUUCUGCACUAGAGGCUUCUCAGCACUCACUCUCAAACCUGCACUGUGCAUUUAUCUGGUCUGACAUUCACAAUGGCUGAAUAAGUUUGGAUUCUUGAUCAUACCACUCAAAGUUAAUGGUAAAUGUAUGUAGGCGGGAAGAAAUUUACAAUUAUUAAAUUGUAUUGCAACGUAUCCAUAAGAUGAUAAUUGUUCAUGUUUUUUUUUCCCAGAGAGAGAGAGAGGAGGAAACAAACAGAGUAAAAAAAGAAACAACUUGAGGUAAAAAAAAAAAAAAAACUUCACAAGCAGAGAGAAGGGAAACCACAGUGUUCUUGAUGUGCAAGAUGAUAGAUGGACAGAAAUCAAUAUUUGGUGGAUUAACCCUGGUUUUAAAUGACAGUUUUCAUGCAUCUUGGCAUGUUCUCCUCCACCAGUCUCACACACUGCUUUUGGAUAACUUUAUGCCACUCCUGGUGCAAUCAAGCA
rnacentral:lncRNA from 1 species